AUGUACCACUCGUAUCCGGCUCUAAGCGCACCGCCCGUACCCGCCUGACGGCCGCACGUUACGUUUUGUUGGCU
rnacentral:sRNA from 1 species